CAGAGAAUAGUUUAAUGUGAGAAUCCUAGCUUUGGGAGUUAGGGGCAGGAGUUAGAGUCUCCUUUUUCUGA
rnacentral:tRNA from 1 species